UCUCUUUUGGUAAACCAUCACUUUGUUAUCAUCCAAAAAGCCACGUUUCAUCUUCUGCUUUCUUAGAAUCUCUAGCUGAUUGCCAGCUAUUAUCCAGCUUAUUGCAUAAGAUAAGAUGGCUUAAAUUUUAAUAGUAUUUAUAUUGCAUUUCAGAGAAUUGUAAAUUCAGUCUUACUUCUCUCUCACUCGGCUGAUCUUUAAUUUGUCCCGUAAUUUUUUCCUUUUCUCUCACUUAAAUGGCCUCAUGCUUUCUUUUCGUUUCAAUUCUCUAUUACUUUUGAUUUCUCGAUUCUUGAAACUUUGAUUCUCUCUCAGUUUUUCUUUUAUAUUUGAUCUCUGACUCCUUCAAGCUUUAAUUUUCUCUCAAUUUACCUUUUGCUUUUAAUCUUCGUCUUUUUACCUUUAUUUCAAAUGAUGCGUUUGGAUUCAAAUUUCGUAGAGUUUGUUUACUACGUUACUCUCAGAGAUGACACAAUGUUGGUAUUGAUUGAUUUGAAUCAGUAAGUUGCGAUAGGUUCAGAUCGUGUUAAGCGAGGUGGGCAAUCCAAUCAUGUUGUGAUGUGAUCGGAUUAUGCUUCAGUACUCAAAUUGGCAAAAGACUAUCGUGGAGUGGAUUGGAAACAAAAUAGGCUCUUCGUAUUUUGCUGUGUCUUCCAGACGAUGUGAAGCCUCCUGAUACUGACAAUCUUUUUCGUUGCCGCCGGUCAAUCUAUAAUUGAUUUUUUUAUUGACAGCAAUACCUUUAGGAAGUUGGUAUUGAGUGGAUUGUUGAUAAUGUAUAAAUAAUUUUUUAUUGGAAUAUAUGAUGGAUUGGUUAGAUCAUUUUUUGUAGUUUUACUUUUAAUAUAAAUGAAAUUCAACUUUCAUGUAA